AUGAUCUGCUCUUUUUUAAUCCCACAGGUUAAACUAAAAAAGCCCCUCACUCCAACCCUUCAGAGGACUGGAGAAACUCCCAUAGCUCAAGAUGCAGAAACAGGGAGAAGUCACAACAGAGUGAGUGCUUUGUGCGUGAAGACAUGGAGGACACCUGAUCGAGACUCUCCUGAUGUCAGAGAGGUGCCAGAUAAACCGAGCUUUCAUGCUGAGCAAGGGGGCAGACGUGUCGGCUGGCAAUCGCUCAGGACGAGCUGGAAGGCCAGCAGGGUGGCAGCUUUCCCUGGAGGCUGUAAAUCCAGUGAGCUUUCCACAGGGACCAUCGUGGACUCUGGCAAGAAGUGUCCUCUGACAAAAACAACAAGCCCAGAGCCCCUGAAGCAUUAUCACACAACUUCUGCUGAUCCCAGUGGUCAGCUACAGAUGUCGCCCAAGUCACAAAGCCCUGUGCAAAGAGCAAGCAGUGUUCAGCCCAUCAAAGCAACAGCCUUUUAUGGGAUAAGUGCUAGCUCAGGUGCUCCACACACACUGGAUAAUCCAUCUGUGACCACGCGUGUACCUCAAAGCAAAACACCCUUCUCCUCUAUCACCAUCUCCUCCAAAAAAGUGAGCAGAUCAGCCAGUUUUUCUGGCUCUAACUCAUCCAGCACGCCUUCUACUCCUGGCUUGGAUCACCAGCCCAUGGAUCCAAACUCCAGACAGAUGAGAGUGCAAAGAAAGGCUACUAUCAUCAAAGUGACAGACAAAAAAGUGACAUCCACCCUCAGUCCAAGCACAAGUCGGCCCGGGACCCCACCAGCUUGCUGUGGUUUAGACAUGGUGGUUCGUAGAAGAAAAGCCACCAUCAUUAAAGUGACAGAACAUAAGGAAAGCUACAGUCCAGCCAAGACCCCAAUCAGGAAUCCAGAGUUCAGGCACAGCUACACCGAGGGGCUGCAUAAGAGUCAGGAAAAUGGUUCAGACAACGCAGCACCACGGUACCACUGUCUGGAUCCUGGGCCAAACUCAUCCACCACCUCAAACACUUCUCCAUCCAGUCCAAAGAAACAUAGUACCCUGCACAGAUCCACUUUUAACUUUUUUGUGAGCAGUCGUCCUGCCACAACACCAGCUCCCUCUGAGGUUUCAUCAAAGGCGGUUGGACAGAGAUCGGACAGGCCGAAAAGACCACUAAGCUGCUACGGUGAUUUGACUGGACACACUGAGCCGAGCGAAGAGAUCGGCGAACAAUCAGCUGCCAGCAAAUGGAGCUUCGGGCCCCCACAAGGGAACCGCAUCAACCCUGUGAGCUUGGACAGAGGUUUCAUCAGCCCUGGAAAAGAAGUGAAAGAAGCAGGUCAGCCAGUAGAACACGCCCUCAGCCCUCCAACAGAGGAAGAGGAGGGAAUGCCUCCAGCGGUGGAGGGAAAGAGGAGAGCAUCCCCCAGUCUGACGCUCAUCACGGCCCCCGGUAAGUUCCUCUGCCCCACUUUGACAGUCUUCUUGUCAACAAAGAGGUGCCAUCUGUCUCUGAUCUCUGUUUUCAAAGGAUUAGAACAUCUAAAUAUACUUUACUUUGUGCCUUUGAGCUGGAAGUUUUUUCCUUCUUUAUAG
ensembl:lncRNA